CAGCGCCACGAGUGGUAACCACGUUUAUUGGGCCUAAAGCGUCCGUAGCCGGUUUGGCAAAUCUUUUGUGAAAUUGUGCAGCUUAACUGUACAGCGUGCAAGAGACACUACCAAACUCAAGACCGGGAGGAGUCAGAAGUAUUCCAGGGGGAGCGGUAAAAUGUUAUAAUCCCUGGAGGACUACCUGUGGCGAAGGCGUCUGACCAGAACGGAUCUGACGGUGAGGGACGAAAGCUAGGGGAGCGAACCGGAUUAGAUACCCGAGUAGUCC
rnacentral:rRNA from 1 species